AAAAAAAAGUAGUCACCGCGGAGCGAAGGGAGGGAAAAUCGGGGGGCUCGGCGGCUAGCCCUAGCGCCGGUUAGCCCUGCGCCAGGCGUAGUUCCCUCUGAGAAGCAUAAAAGAAGAACCUAAAUAAUAUCCUUGUCUAGGAACUGUAUGUGCUGGAGUCACACUAGACAGCAGACCUUUGGCAUGCAGGAGUCAAGAUACCAAAUCACGUCUUUGCUGAAGGACCACGUCAAUGCCCUGCGGAUCAUGUGACUAAACAUGAGUAUUGGCCUCAUGAAAUUCCAUCUUAAUUGUGAUACAUUUUAUCUUAUAGAACCUGUGUCACAUGCUUGUUAAUUCAUAGCCAUUCAUUUGAAUUUAUUUCCUGUCAGUUCGUGAUGGCUAGUUUUGAGUGCCAGCGAAAGUUAUUGCUCUUAUUUGGCGGAUCAGAACACACAGUGCGACGAGGCACCUUGUAACCACCAAUGCCUUCUACUUACCCAUCCCCUAUCGGCAAUGCCGUGUUGUGUGCGCUGUGAGUUUCCUAGUGGUUGAUAUAUUGGGUGCUUCCGCCCUACUGCAGUGGUUUAGCAGCUUGUUUUAUGUCCCAUCACAUUGACCGUAAUGGAUCGGUGCUUCACUUAACAAAUAUGUCCGUACUCAGACUUUUCAAUUCGCCGGGCCUGCUUUAUGGCGUCUCCGAAGGGUCAUUCCUGCCGUCCCGGGCACGGCUACACCCCUCAAACACCGAGGCCGCCCCGCAGGGCUUCCGGGCCGCACGCGUCGGGAUAAAGCGGGCCUUACCUGCAGCGGAAUGGGCCCCAGAGUACCCCGAAGUGCGCCAUCUCCGAGGACGGAGCGUUUUGGGAGAGGCGGGGUCAAAGAUGUGCAGGGUUCCUUUUAACCAAUUACCUGCUGAGAAAUAGCCUCUGCGUG